rnacentral:rRNA from 1 species
GACGAACGCUGGCGGCGUGCUUAAUACAUGCAAGUCGACUGAACUUAAGGUAGCAAUAUUUUAAGGGAGGUGGCGCACGGGUGAGUAACACGUAGGUAAUCUGCCUUUAGGACUGACAUAACUCCGCGAAAGCGGAGCUAAUUUCAGAUGAUGCAGCGGCUCGACAUCGAGACAGUUGUUAAACCUUCGGCGCUGCCCGAGGAUGAGCCCGCGUCCCAUUAGCUAGUUGGCGGGGUAACGGCCCACCAAGGCGAUGAUGGGUAGGCGGCCUGAGAGGGUGUACGCCCACACUGGGACUGAGAUACGGCCCAGACUCCUACGGGAGGCAGCAGCUAAGAAUAUUCCGCAAUGGACGAAAGUCUGACGGAGCGACGCCGCGUGGAUGAUGAAGGCCGAAAGGUUGUAAAGUCCUUUGCUGGGAAGAAUAACCAUGGAGGGAAUGCCCGUGGGAUGACAUGAACCGGCGAAUAAGCCCCGGCUAACUACGUGCCAGCAGCCG